UGAGCUUGUGAAGAAGGCUGCAGUGCCAUGAUGAAUUGAAAAGGGCCCUGAUCAGUCCCGUGUGGAUCACCACUGGAGAACAUCUAUUUUGGAGUCUUAUGGAGGUCUCAAAAUUAUCAUAUCAUGGUCUUCUCAUUGGUAUAUGACUUUUUAUCUCUUCCUAAUAUGUAUGAUUUUGAUAUUUGAUUGCAAUCAUCAAGGUGUUCCUAGGAUUUUGUAUUUCGGUGGACUAGUUUAAUUAUUAAACAUUAUUUUUAAUUGUUGAAUG
rnacentral:lncRNA from 1 species